GCGUCUGUAGCUCAGCUGGAUAGAGCAACGGCCUUCUAAGCCGUAGGUCUUGGGUUCGAAUCCCCACAGACGCGCCA
rnacentral:tRNA from 1 species